UACGUAGGGUGCAGGCGUUAAUCGGAAUUACUGGGCGUAAAGCGUGCGCAGGCGGUUUGUUAAGACAGGUGUGAAAUCCCCGGGCUUAACCUGGGAACUGCGCUUGUUACUGGCAGACUUGAGUGUAGCAGAGGGGGGGUGGAAUUCCGCGUGUAGCAGUGAAAUGCGUAGAUAUCCGGAGGAACACCGGUGGCGAAGGCGGCUUCCUGGACCGAUACUGACGCUGGAGGCGCGGAAAAGCUAGGGGAGCAAACGGG
rnacentral:rRNA from 1 species